rnacentral:tRNA from 1 species
CCUUGUAGCUGAGUCGGUAAAGAAUCUGCCUGCAGUGCAGGAGGCCUGGGUUCAAUUCCUGGGUCAAGAA